UACAGAGGUCCCAAGCGUUGUUCGGAUUCACUGGGUUUAAAGGGUGCGUAGGAGGGCAGGUAAGUCAGUGGUGAAAUCUCCAAGCUUAACUUGGAAACUGCCGUUGAUACUAUCUGUCUUGAAUACCGUGGAGGUGAGCGGAAUAUGUCAUGUAGCGGUGAAAUGCUUAGAUAUGACAUAGAACACCAAUUGCGAAGGCAGCUCGCUACACGAAUAUUGACUCUGAGGCACGAAAGCGUGGGGAUCAAACAGG
rnacentral:rRNA from 1 species